ACGGGUGAGUAACACGUAUCCAACCUGCCGAUGACUCGGGGGAUAGCCUUUCGAAAGAAAGAUUAAUACCUGAUAGUAUGGUGAGAUUGCAUGAUAGCACCAUUAAAGAUUUAUUGGUAAACGAUGGGGAUGCGUUCCAUUAGGUAGUAGGCGGGGUAACGGCCCACCUAGCCGACGAUGGAUAGGGGUUCUGAGAGGAAGGUCCCCCACAUUGGAACUGAGACACGGUCCAAACUCCUACGGGAGGCAGCAGUGAGGAAUAUUGGUCAAUGGGCGAGAGCCUGAACCAGCCAAGUAGCGUGAAGGAUGAAGGUCCUACGGAUUGUAAACUUCUUUUAUACGGGAAUAAAGUAUCCUACGUGUAGGAUUUUGUAUGUACCGUAUGAAUAAGCAUCGGCUAACUCCGUG
rnacentral:rRNA from 1 species